UCUUACAAUAAUCCGAGAAAGAUUAUAAAUCUUUCAAAGUUUAAAGGAUAAAGAUAUAGUCCGACCUCAUAAGCGAUUAUGAGACUACGUGUUGAAUCGUAGUAAACAAACUAUUUAUAGUUUGUUAUAACAAAUUUGUAGAGACCCCUGUAGUCCUAGCCGUAAACUUUGCCUGCUAGCGAUCCGACUUUGGUCGGGUUGCGUAAGCUAACGCGUUAAGCGGGCCGCCUGGGGAGUACGAACGCAAGUUUAAAACUCAAAGGAAUUGACGGGAAGGCGCACAACCAGUGGAGCAUAGUCUUGACAUAUUACCGUUUUAGAUUGCCAGAAAUGGCGAUCGAUCCUUAAGUAAUUUUGGAUGGUAUUACAGGUGUUGCAUGGCCGUCGUCAGCUCGUGUCGUAGGUUAACACUUUGCGACCCUUCGAAGCAAUUCGGAGUGCGAAAUCUGGCUCAUAUCGGUGGAACUUCUUAUUUUUAAUAAGAACAAUACCGAGGGAAGUCGACUUAAAUUUUAAGUUUGACCCCGUAACGACUGAUUUUGGUAUUUUUAAAUAUCAAAUGAUAUACAAGAUAAUACGCUUGUAUAACACGCCAGCUCCCGAUUUAAUCGGGAUGAAGGUAUAGUCUAAUUACAGUUACCUUUUAAAGUAAUUGGAGGUGUUCCCUUCAGUGGGGUAACGAGCGCAACCCCUGCCCUGAGUUAAAUAAUCUCAGGGGACUUCCCUCAUUUAUUGCGGGAGGAAGUGGGGACGACGUCAGGUCAGCAUGGCCCUUAUGACUGGGGCAACACACAUACUACAAUGGAGCNNNNNNNNNNNAUUGAGGGCUGCAACUCGCCCUCAUGAACAUGGAAUUGGUAGUAAUCGCGGGUCAGCUAUACCGCGGUGAAUACGUUCUCGCCUUUUGUACACACCGCCCGUCAAGGCAGUAAAGUUAAAGGUACCCGAACUUCGAUUUUGUCGGAGGAAGGUAAAUUUAGCGAUAAGGCUUAAGUCGUUGGUUAAGUUAACGUUGCGACUUUAGAGAGUGAUCUCU
rnacentral:ncRNA from 1 species